UCUUGUGGGCGAGCAAAGAAAGUGGUUUCUUGAGAUGGAAUCCACUCCUGGUGAAGAUGCUAUAAA
rnacentral:pre_miRNA from 1 species